UUUCCCUCCUUUCGGAUUUCUUUCUUAUGUUGGUUCUUUUUACUCUCUCUUGCUUUCGCAUUUCAUUCGUUUUGAGAAACCUUGUUUUUCAUCUUUUUCUCCCGAUCAUUUUCUUGCUUAAUUUUACUUUAUGUUUAUCUAUUAUUUCAUAAUUUUUUUUAGGUUCUAAUUUUUGAAGGAAACCUGAAUAUGUACAGGAAAAUAUAAUAAUGAUAAUAAUAAAGAAAAGCACGGAUCUUUCUGUCACUUUUUAAGUCGGAAAUCUUACUGAAUGCCAUUCUUUCUCAUUUUAUUGAAAUUUUGGAUGGAACGAGGAGUGCUUCUCCAAUUGGGUGUGUCAAGUUCUAGAAAAAGCAGAUUCAAAGCAAGAGAUCUUCCCUUCUAUGUGUUCCCCUACCCUCUGAUUCCUCUUCCGAAUGCUUCUCAUCUGAAUUUUAUAUGUGAGACUGUCCUGAACAAAGUAGAUAACACA